UCUCCAUUUUUGGAUUACCAGCUCUAUGGGGUUACUCUUUUUUGCUAUAAAUGUGUGUCUGCAUUUAACUCUUUGAAUGCAACAAAUAAUGAUAUAUACAUAUUAUAUAUAUAUAUUAUUAUUUUUUUUUUUUUUUUUCUCUUCUUUCCUCUUUCCCUUCCUUCCCUAGGCGUGGACCUUUUUGGUAGGCUAUGAUUGUAUAUCCUCCCCGUGAACACAGAGACAUUGAUCUCCAUAUACAGCAUUCUCCCCUUGUUUUUGGCGUACUUUCACACUGAGACAGGACUCUAUCUACAGAUCUUAUUGACUACAUGUAUUUCUCUGACACAAUGAUCGUCUGUAAUACCCCUUGAAGAAGGAUCACAGAUACCGAAACGGCUGUCGGGUUGGACCAAUUUUUGUCUCAUGUCUGUUUUAUUGCUUUACAAAUAGGAUCUGUAUACCACUUGCAUGUGGUUUUUUAUCCUUGCUAGGACACUGUACGAUGUCCUUACUUAAAUUGUUUAAAUAAAUUUGCUAUAUAUUUUUCUACUCA